GGCCCGGCACAAGCGGUGGAGCAUGUGGUUUAAUUCGAUGAUACGCGAGGAACCUUACCAGGGCUUAAAUGUAGUGGGACAGGUCUAGAGAUAGACCCUUCUUCGGACUCAUUACAAGGUGCUGCAUGGUUGUCGUCAGCUCGUGCCGUGAGGUGUCAGGUUAAGUCCUAUAACGAGCGCAACCCCUAUCGUUAGUUGCCAGCGGAUAAUGCCGGGAACUCUAGCGAAACUGCCGGUGCAAACCGAGAGGAAGGUGGGGAUGACGUCAAAUCAUCACGGCCCUUACGUCCUGGGCCACACACGUGCUACAAUGGCCGGUACAGAGAGCAGCCACUACGCGAGUAGGAGCGAAUCUACAAAACCGGUCUCAGUUCGGAUCGCAGUCUGCAACUCGACUGCGUGAAGCUGGAAUCGCUAGUAAUCGC
rnacentral:rRNA from 1 species